AUGACAAAAAGGCACUCCAUGUGGAAGGGAACAGCUUUGUGGAAAAAUACAAGGCUCAGAAGGAAGUGGAUUUGAACACUGUGACAGAAACUCCAAGACCAAAGAAAAGAAAAACUGUUAGUGUCACAAUACCUUCAAACUCAGUUCAAGAAAGUGUGCGUGAUACACUGAAGAAGGAUGCCCUCCUGAAAGCCCGCCAGGAGAAGGCCGAGAAGGCCGAGGCCUUGAAAAAGUCAAAACAGAGGGUCCUGGAGGAGAUGGACAGUCUCCUCGAGUCUCAAUACGCUUCAGCCAGUGAGACGGAGGCCGAAGAAGAAGAAACAAAUUUAGAGGAUGUUCCCAGAAACAGCAAGGGACAUCCCACAAUGGCUGUGAAACAGCCAAGAAAAAGGAGGACAGAUGAGGAGGACGACAAUCCAUGUACCAAGUGUCGUCUCCUCGAGGAUGAAUUGGCCAAAAAGAACAGGCACAUAAAGAAACUGGAGGAACAAUUGGAAUCUCUGCAAUCAGCCAGGAGCAUGCCUCCCUCGACAAGUAAACCCUCCUUCAUCUUGCUUUGAAAGGCCAAAGCGGGUUACUA